rnacentral:rRNA from 1 species
GACGAACGCUGGCGGCGUGCUUAACACAUGCAAGUCGAGCGGUAAGGCCCUUUCGGGGGUACACGAGCGGCGAACGGGUGAGUAACACGUGGGUGACCUGCCCUUAGCUCUGGGAUAAGCCUGGGAAACUGGGUCUAAUACCGGAUAUGACUCCAUGACGCAUGUUGUGGGGUGGAAAGCCUUGUGCGGCUAGGGAUGGGCCCGCGGCCUAUCAGCUUGUUGGUGGGGUGAGGCCUACCAAGGCGACGACGGGUAGCCGGCCUGAGAGGGCGACCGGCCACACUGGGACUGAGACGCGGCCCAGACUCCUACGGGAGGCAGCAGUGGGGAAUCUUGCGCAAUGGGCGAAAGCCUGACGCAGCGACGCCGCGUGAGGGAUGACGGCCU